rnacentral:rRNA from 1 species
UGACAUAUGGUAGGAGAGCGUUCUGUAAGCCUGCGAAGGUGUCUUGUAAAGGAUGCUGGAGGUAUCAGAAGUGCGAAUGCUGACAUGAGUAGCGAUAAUGCGGGUGAAAAGCCCGCACGCCGUAAGCCCAAGGUUUCCUGUUCAACGUUCAUCGGAGCAGGGUGAGUCGGCCCCUAAGGCGAGGCAGAGAUGCGUAGCUGAUGGGAAGCAGGUUAAUAUUCCUGCACCGUCGUAUGAUGCGAUGGGGGGACGGAUCGCGGAAGGUUGUCUAACUGUUGGAAUAGUUAGUUUCUGAUUCAUAGAAGGUGCUUAGGCAAAUCCGGGCACGUAAUUCAAGGGAUUGGGACGAGGGACUUAGGUCCUGAAGCAAUCGGAAGUGGUUCCAAGAAAAGCCUCUAAGCUUCAGUCAUACGAGACCGUACCGCAAACCGACACAGGUGGGCGAGAUGAGUAUUCUAAGGCGCUUGAGAGAACUCGGGAGAAGGAACUCGGCAAAUUGGUACCGUAACUUCGGGAUAAGGUACGCCCCGGUAGCUUGAC